UGUAGGAGUGCUUAGCUCACACAACAUGGCCAUUCUAGUUUUUGCGAGCAUCCAGAGUCCCGUGGUCCAGCUUUAGGGCAGAACUGAAGCUUUCCCAAGUCCCUCAGAAUUUGACAAGGAAGCCAGCUCGAUUGAAGAUGACAAAGUGUGUUGAAGUCCUCUACUGGCGGUGUGACUAUCACAAACCAGGGCCUGUGCUUGUGACAUGGUAACUCUCGGAAGGAAGAACUCACUCUGAGAGAGACAUUACGAAGAGUGUGAUCUCACCAACUCCCAUGGACUCAGCAGUCACUCAAGCCACACCCUGAAAUGGCUCUCCAUUCAGUUGCCAAGUCCUCCAUACUCUGCGCCCCAUACCCACCACAGCCUUUGCCCCAUUGAUCCAUUCUGCACACAAUCGCCAACACAUCCGAUCAUGCUACUCCUCAUUCAAACGCUGGCUUCUCCCUGCUCUAACGGAUGAAGUCC